AAAACUCACAUCAGAAUGGCCGGUUAUGGCAGGAAUAUGUGGAGCACGUUGCCAGGGGAACUUGUGGAAUUUCCUUCCUUAGAAAUCUCUCAUACUAGAACAGAGAAAGAAACAAGCGUCCUGGGAAGUGUUGGAGCAUUUCUGCCUGGAGACAAGUCUGGACUAGAUUAUCUCAAGAGCUUUCCUACAUCCGUAAUUUAGACACCCCUUGAAUCCAGCGGGGGGCGGAUCUUCUCCUGGAAUCACGUUUCUCAAGAAAAGCAAAAUACGAUUUUUUCCCCCUUCUUUUUCUUUCUGUCUCCUCACCUCUUGGCUUCUUUCUGAAGCUCUAUAUGGUGCUCUGUUCUGUGGCUUGGGAGCACCGAACUGGAAUAUUAGAACUCUUAACCCAAAUGGUCCUGAGACAGAUGCCUUUGGAUUUUUAAUGGUGAAAAGGAAAGCCUGGGGUUUACAACUCGGAUGAUUGAUGGCACCCAUAGAAGCAUCAUACGCCCAGGAUAAUAAGACUAUUGGUGCUGCGGGGAGCUUUGAACCAAUGAUGGGAAAACCUCUCGGGAGACUCGACAGGCUUCAAUUUUGACGGAUGGAUCAAAGGCCCACCCACAAACUGCUUCCUUUCCCUCCUUUGGCUCCGACCAUCAAGUCUGUUCCCGUUUCAGCGACCACAGCUAAUGCAGAACAUAGUCAUCUCUAAGCUAACCAAUCCCCAAAUAAGCAUCAAUAUCCCUGGGAUGAAAUGUCGGCUCAACUUA